GUGAGGAAUAUUGGUCAAUGGUCGCAAGACUGAACCAGCCAUGCCGCGUGCAGGAAGACGGUCCUAUGGAUUGUAAACUGCUUUUAUACAGGAAGAAACCCUCCCACGUGUGGGAGCUUGACGGUACUGUAGGAAUAAGGAUCGGCUAACUCCGUGCCAGCAGCCGCGGUAAUACGGAGGAUCCAAGCGUUAUCCGGAAUCAUUGGGUUUAAAGGGUCCGUAGGCGGGCAGGUAAGUCAGUGGUGAAAUCCUAGAGCUUAACUCUAGAACUGCCAUUGAUACUAUCUGUCUUGAAUAUUGUGGAGGUAAGCGGAAUAUGUCAUGUAGCGGUGAAAUGCUUAGAUAUGACAUAGAACACCUAUUGCGAAGGCAGCUUACUACGCAUAUAUUGACGCUGAGGCACGAAAGCGUGGGGAUCAAACAGGAUUAGAAACCCCGGUAGUCC
rnacentral:rRNA from 1 species